rnacentral:lncRNA from 1 species
AUGCGCGCGCCGGGUUGGGGACACCCCGGUCCCACGGCUCGUGGGCCUCGUCGUCUAUCUCCGGUGGGGGGAUGGGACGAGCGCCGCGGGAGCGGGACCGGACCGGGUGGUAGCGAGUGCGCCAUCCUGGGCUCGGCGCCAGCGGCACCGGCUCCAGCACCGAACGCCGCGCGGGCCGCCGUCUCAGGCGCGCCCUUCAAGACUCCAGCUUGGGGGAAAGAGGGGAAAAUGCCGACUGCGCUCGGCCCCACGAGGACGGGAGCGCGUGGUGUGAGCAGCUGGAGCACACCCUGGGCGCGCGGGCGGCUCCCGGACUUCAACGGGAGCACUAGGUGA